rnacentral:rRNA from 1 species
UGGGGAAUAUUGGGCAAUGGACGCAAGUCUGACCCAGCAACGCCGCGUGAAGGAAGAAGGCUUUCGGGUUGUAAACUUCUUUUGUCAGGGAAGAGUAGAAGACGGUACCUGACGAAUAAGCCACGGCUAACUACGUGCCAGCAGCCGCGGUAAUACGUAGGGGGCAAGCGUUAUCCGGAUUUACUGGGUGUAAAGGGAGCGUAGGCGGUUUGGGCAAGUCAGAAGUGAAAGCCCAAGGCUUAACCAUGGGACUGCUUUUGAAACUGUCAGACUGGAUUGCAGGAGAGGUAAGUGGAAUUCCUGGUGUAGCGGUGAAAUGCGUAGAUAUCAGGAGGAACACCGGUGGCGAAGGCGGCUUACUGGACUGUAAAUGACGCUGAGGCUCGAAAGCGUGGGGAGCAAACAGGAUUAGAUACCCUGGUAGU